AAGGAUUUCUCUGGAGGAGGAGAGUAUGAUCGGCACGGGUUCCAAAAGAUGCUCGACGAUUAUCAAGCAUUGCUUGGAGGAUUCAGUCUUGGAGACUAUUUUCCUUCGAUGGAGUUUGUGCACAGUCUGACUGGAAUGAAAUCGAAACUCCAGUACACCUUCAGACGGUUUGAUCAGUUCUUCGAUGAGGUGAUAGCUGAGCACCGCAGUUCUAAGGGAAAACAAGAGGAGGAGAAGGACCUUGUUGACGUUCUACUUGAUAUUCAGAAGGAUGGAUCUUCUGAAAUUCCUCUCACCAUGGAUAACAUUAAAGCUGUCAUCUUGGUCAGUGAAGAUUUUAUUGGUCUAGUUAUACCUUCAAGGCUUCAACUUCAGUGUUCCAAGCAUCAAAUUACUUGUAGAUGAGUUCAUUUGCACACAAUUUACAACUAAAGGGUAUAAUUAUUGCUCUAUUGUUGCAGGACAUGUUUGCUGCAGGAACAGAUACCAACUUCAUAACCCUUGAUUGGGCAAUGACAGAGCUUAUCAUGAAUCCUCAUGUCAUGGAGAAAGCACAAGCUGAAGUACGAAGUGUUGUCGGAGACAGAAGAGUGGUGCAAGAGAGUGAUCUGCGCCGGCUGAACUACAUGAAAGCUGUUAUCAAAGAGAUCUUCCGGUUACAUCCUGCCGCUCCAGUUUUAGUCCCAAGAGAAUCUUUAGAAGAUGUUGUAAUUGAUGGCUACAACAUUCCAGCUAAAACUCGGAUUUAUGUCAAUGUCUGGGGAAUGGGGAGGGAUCCAGAACUGUGGGAAAAUCCUGAAACAUUUGAACCGGAAAGAUUUAUGGGCAGCGGUAUAGAUUUCAAGGGGCAAGAUUUUGAGCUGAUACCAUUUGGAGCAGGUAGAAGAAGCUGCCCAGCCAUCACAUUUGGGGUCGCAACCGUUGAAAUUGCUUUAGCUCAACUCCUCCACAGCUUUGAUUGGAAGCUUCCUCCUGGUCUCGAAGCAAAGGAUAUAGACAAUACAGAAGCUUUUGGCAUCUCAAUGCACAGGACAGUUCCCCUGCACGUCAUUGC
rnacentral:lncRNA from 1 species